rnacentral:rRNA from 1 species
UGGGGAAUCUUGCACAAUGGGGGAAACCCUGAUGCAGCGACGCCGCGUGAACGAUGAAGCCCUUCGGGGUGUAAAGUUCUUUCGACAGGAACGAUAAUGACGGUACCUGGAGAAGAAGCUGCGGCUAACUACGUGCCAGCAGCCGCGGUAAUACGUAGGCAGCGAGCGUUGUUCGGAGUUACUGGGCGUAAAGAGUGCGUAGGCGGCGAGCCAAGUUUGGUGUGAAAUCUCCCGGCUUAACCGGGAGGGUGCGCCGAAAACUGGUUGGCUGGAGUAUGGGAGAGGAAAGCGGAAUUCCUGGUGUGGCGGUGAAAUGCGUAGAUAUCAGGAGGAACACCUGCGGUGUAGACAGCUUUCUGGACCAAAACUGACGCUGAGGCACGAAAGCGUGGGUAGCAAACA